rnacentral:sRNA from 1 species
UUGAACUGAAUGAGCCUCCACUGGUCCACACAGCAGCCAGCCUCUUUAAGGAGAUGUGUUACCGAUACCGGGAAGACCUGAUGGCGGGAAUCAUCAUCGCAGGCUGGGACCCUCAAGAAGGAGGGCAGGUCAGAUCCCCACCCGACCAGAGCACACUUGAGCCAGGCCUUUUAUCCUCUCCCCAGCCAUUUUCUUUUUCUUUCCAGUCUCUACCUCACUUAUUCUUACUAUUCACGUGCCUCAGACCAAUAGCAGAAUGGACAGGUGAAUGUACAUGUGUUGGAGGGAGGAUACGACUGGUGACUCUUCUCCUUCUAUCUGGCAGGUGUACUCAGUGCCUAUGGGGGGUAUGAUGGUAAGGCAGUCCUUUGCCAUUGGAGGCUCCGGGAGCUCCUACAUUUAUGGCUAUGUUGAUGCUACCUACCGGGAAGGCAUGACAAAGGAAGAGUGUCUGCAAUUCACUGCCAAUGCUCUCGCUUUGGCCAUGGAGCGGGAUGGCUCCAGUGGAGGAGUGAUCCGCCUGGCAGCCAUUGCAGAGUCAGGGGUAGAGCGGCAAGUACUUUUGGGAGACCAGAUACCCAAAUUCGCCAUUGCCACUUUACCACCCCCCUGAGUCCUGGGAUUCUAGUAUGCAAUAAGAGAUACCCCGUACUGAUGCAAAAUUUA